rnacentral:rRNA from 1 species
GACGAACGCUGGCGGCGUGCUUAACACAUGCAAGUCGAACGGAAAGGCCCUGCUGUUGUGGGGUGCUCGAGUGGCGAACGGGUGAGUAACACGUGAGUAACCUGCCCUUGACUUUGGGAUAACUUCAGGAAACUGGGGCUAAUACCGGAUAGGAGCUCCUGCUGCAUGGUGGGGGUUGGAAAGUUUCGGCGGUUGGGGAUGGACUCGCGGCUUAUCAGCUUGUUGGUGGGGUAGUGGCUUACCAAGGCUUUGACGGGUAGCCGGCCUGAGAGGGUGACCGGCCACAUUGGGACUGAGAUACGGCCCAGACUCCUACGGGAGGCAGCAGUGGGGAAUAUUGCACGAUGGGCGGAAGCCUGAUGCAGCAACGCCGCGUGCGGGAUGACGGCCUUCGGGUUGUAAACCGCUUUCGCCUGUGACGAAGCGUGAGUGACGGUAAUGGGUAAAGAAGCACCGGCUAACUACGUG